GCAAUAACUCCUAAAGAGGUCAACUGACCAUUUUGGUCAUGUUGACUUAUUUGUAGAUCUUACUUUGCUGAACAUUAUUGUUGUUUACAGUUUUAUCUCUAUCUAUAAUAAUAUUCAAGAUAAUAACCAAAAACAGCAAAAUUUCCUUAAAAUUACCAUUUCAGGGGCAGCAACCCAACAACGGAAUGUCCGAUUCAUCUGAAAAUUUCAGGGCAGAUAGAUCUUGACCUGAUGAACAAUUUUACUGUGUGUCAGAUUUGCUCUAAAUGCUUUGGUUUUUGAGUUAUAAGCCAAAAACUGCAUUUUACCCCUAUGUUCUAUUUUUAGCCAUGGCGGCCAUCUUGGUUGGUUGGCGGGGCACCGGACACAUUUUUUAAACUAGAUACCCCUAAUGAUGAUUAUGGCCAAGUUUGGUUAAAUUUGACCCAGUAGUUUCAGAGGAGAAGAUUUUUCUAAAAGAUUACUAAGAUUUACGAAAAAUGGUUAAAAAUUGACUAUAAAGGGCAAUAACUCCUAAAGUGGUCAACUGACCAUUUUGAUCAUGUUGCCUUAUUUGUAGAUCUUACUUUGCUGAACAUUAUUGCUGUUUACAGUUUAUCUCUAUCUAUAAUAAUAUUCAAGAUAAUAACCAAAAACAGCAAAAUUUCCUUAAAAUUACCAUUUCAGGGGCAGCAACCCAACAACGAAAUGUCCGAUUCAUCUGAAAAUUUCAGGGCAGAUAGAUCUUGACCUGUUGAACAAUAUUACCCCAUGUCAGAUUUGCUCUAAAUGCUUUGGUUUUUGAGUUAUAAGCCAAAAACUGCAUUUUUACCCCUAUGUUCUAUUUUUAGCCAUGGCGGCCAUCUUGGUUGGUUGGCCGGGUCACCGGACACAUUUUUUAAACUAGAUACCCCAAUGAUGAUUGUGGCCAAGUUUGGUUAAAUUUGGCCCAGUAGUUUCAGAGGAGAAGAUUUUUGUAAAAGUUAACGCAGGACGACGACGGACGACGACGACGACGACGACGGACGACGACGGACGCCGGACGCCAAGUGAUGAGAAAAGCUCACUUGGCCCUUUGGGCCAGGUGAGCUAAAAAGGUAACCUGAUGAUAGU
rnacentral:lncRNA from 1 species